GAUGAACGCUGGCGGCGUGCCUAAUACAUGCAAGUCGAGCGAACAGACGAGGAGCUUGCUCCUCUAACGUUAGCGGCGGACGGGUGAGUAACACGUGGAUAACCUACCUAUAAGACUGGGAUAACUUCGGGAAACCGGAGCUAAUACCGGAUAAUAUAUUGAACCGCAUGGUUCAAUAGUGAAAGACGGUUUUGCUGUCACUUAUAGAUGGAUCCGCGCCGCAUUAGCUAGUUGGUAAGGUAACGGCUUACCAAGGCGACGAUGCGUAGCCGACCUGAGAGGGUGAUCGGCCACACUGGAACUGAGACACGGUCCAGACUCCUACGGGAGGCAGCAGUAGGGAAUCUUCCGCAAUGGGCGAAAGCCUGACGGAGCAACGCCGCGUGAGUGAUGAAGGUCUUCGGAUCGUAAAACUCUGUUAUUAGGGAAGAACAAAUGUGUAAGUAACGAUGCACGUCUUGACGGUACCUAAUCAGAAAGCCACGGCUAACUACGU
rnacentral:rRNA from 1 species